AUUGAACGCUGGCGGCAGGCCUAACACAUGCAAGUCGAGCGAGCGGCGGACGGGUGAGUAAUGUCUGGGAAACUGCCUGAUGGAGGGGGAUAACUACUGGAAACGGUAGCUAAUACCGCAUACCAUCAGAUGUGCCCAAACGGGAUUAGCUAGUAGGUGGGGUAACGGCUCACCUAGGCGACGAACCCUAGCCGGUCUGAGAGGAUGACCAGCCACACUGGAACUGCGACAUGGUCCAGACUCCUACGAGAGGCAGCAGUGGGGAAUUUUGCACAAUGGGAGCAAGCCUGAUGCAGCAAUGCCGCGGGUGUGAAGAAGGCCUUCGGGUUGUAAAGCACUUUCAGCUGGGAGGCGUUACCCGCAGAAGAAGCACCGGCUAACACCGUGCCAGCAGCCGCGGUAAUAC
rnacentral:rRNA from 1 species